CAUGGCUCAGGACGAACGCUGGCGGCGUGCCUAAUACAUGCAAGUAGAGCGAAGUUUUUAUGGUGCUUGCACUAUAAAAACUUAGCGGCGAACGGGUGAGUAACACGUAAAGAACCUGCCUCAUAGACUGGGACAACUAUUGGAAACGAUAGCUAAUACCGGAUAACAGCAUUAACUGCAUUGUUGAUGUUUAAAAAUUUGUUUUGCUAACACUAUCAGAUGGCUUUGCGUUGCACUAGCUAGUUGGUGGGGUAAAGGCCUACCAAGGCGACGAUGCAUAGCCGACCUGAGAGGGUGAUCGGCCACACUGGGACUGAGACACGGCCCAGACUCCUACGG
rnacentral:rRNA from 1 species